rnacentral:lncRNA from 1 species
AGAUCGGGGAUUGACAAUGCGGGAUGAAAGGUUUCUCCAGGGGAAGUGGAGCCCCGCAGCGCAUCCAGUAGAAACAGAUGUGGAGGAGAAGGAGGGGUUGGAGCAGAUCCAGAGCUGGAUCCUCCUCCUGGACUAUAAGUUCUGCAGUGCGGAUCAUCAGCAGGAGCUCCAGGUCCGGUUUACACUGUGAUGUUUCUCUACAGACUGCUUUAUUCUGCUGAUCGAUGAGCGGAUCUGAAUCAGGUCCUCCUGUAGUGAAGGGGAAGCUCCAUGGUGCUGCUGUUCUGCCCUGUACUGGGAGAUGUUCUGGAGUGGUCAGCUGGACGGUGCUCCAUAAACACUCUGAUAUUCUGGCUGAGUGUGAUCAGACUUCCUGCAGAUCAGUGAAGGAGGGAUAUCAGAUGAUCUAUAAUCAAUACCUGCAGGGAGAUUUCUCUCUGAUCAUCAGUGAAGCUGAUUACAGUAAGAGAGGACUGUACACCUGUGACUGUGAUGAUACAGAUCUCUGUGAAGUUCAGCUUCAGAUUGAAGGUAAGUGUUUGAUCCAGUGACAGAAUCUCCAGUGAUGCAGAUUCAGUGAUUUACUCUCAGUUUACUCUUUUUGUUUCUGGUU